CUCGGUAACAGUCACCACGUGGAACCUUACAACGAGGGACUAGAGUAGGGAUAUAAGGGAGAGCCAUGAUCAAGACUAGGAGGAAAACACUGCUGUAAAUAUGUGAUUAUUUAUUACUUUACUUACUAUUAUUCAAACAAAUACAAUAAACAGCAUGAAUUCAUAUAACUAUUAUAGUUCAUUAUAAGAUCUAAAAGGACAAGAGAAUAUUAGAUUACGGUUAGAUAUUUUAUAUUGUUUUGUAUUUUAUCAGUACACAUAACAUUUAUAAGCCAUGUCAUUGUUUACAACCUUAUUUAAAACAAGCAAACAAUACAAACUAUCAGUGUUUGCAUACUGACCACGCCCCCUUGAAUAUAUUAAGAAGUAAGGCUUUUUUAAAUCAGUAAUAUUAGUAAAAUAAGUUUGGCUUCUGAAAAAUAUUUAAAAAAGUUAUACUAUCCUAAUUUACACAAAUUCAUCAUAAUGUCAUAAAAGCGAAGCAAAAAAACAAACAAAAAACUUUUAAUUAACCUUUAGUGACGCUUUGGGAGAAACAAAGCCACUGAUUGGUCAUAAGGUCAUGUGACGUAAUUAAGUUAACUUAAUUAGGGCGCGUGGACGCUUUUAAAUGACAGCAUUAUCCAUCUUCAACAAACUCACGCGCUACCGCCAUGAAAGCAGUCAGAUCUAAACGGGAGCCACGCGCCUGUCAUCCCAGAGCAAAGGCCCAAAUCCGCGCGCAUGCGCACUACAUUUAUAAAAUGCGCAGAGAGCUCGAGACUGACGAGUGCAGAGUGGUGACUGGGUCGAGGCUCGCGCCGUUGUUUCUUUUAAGAAGAGUAGGUCUGGAGGCCGCACGACUGUCUAGUUUGAACCGACGUGGCAUCAUUACGAGCAGGGAAAUCAGUGCAGCCAUGCAGCAGCUCUUACACCGCCGCAACUCAAUCCCUAUGGACGGUGCAUGACCUGCCUCCUUCUAAUGUGUGUUCCUAUGUUUUUACGUGUGUAUAUAAAAAAUAAAUGUUUUAUCUUUUAA